rnacentral:lncRNA from 1 species
GUCACAUUCUUCUAGAUUACAAGCACCUAGGCAUGCAGACACCCAACAAUCCCUAUCUACAAAGCAACCUACACAUCAUCCCAUAUCUCAAACACAUACUAACUUCCCACCUUUCCUCUCUACUUCAAGUCCACAAAUGUCUACUGUCCAUGCUCCCAUUUCUCAAAUACCUACAAAUACCCAACAACCCCGCUCUACAAUGAAACCUACACAUCAUCUUACAUCUAAAACACCUUCAAAUAUCCAACAAUCCCUAUCUACAAAGCAGCCUACACAUCAUCCCAUAUCUCAAACACAUACAAACUUCCCACCUUUCCUCUCUACUUCAAGUCCACAAAUGUCUACUGUCCAUGCUCCCACUUCUCAAAUACCUACAAAUACCCAACAACCCCACUCUACAAGGAAACCUACACAUCAUCUUACAUCUAACACACCUUCAAAUAUCCAACUUCCACAACCUACAAGGCAA